CGGAGGGUGCAAGCGUUAUCCGGAUUCACUGGGUUUAAAGGGUGUGUAGGCGGAUAUUUAAGUCAGUGGUGAAAUCUCCGGGCUCAACCCGGAAACUGCCAUUGAUACUAUUUAUCUUGAAUAUCGUUGAGGUUGGCGGAAUAUAUCUUGUAGCGGUGAAAUGCAUAGAUAUGAUAUAGAACACCGAUUGCGAAGGCAGCUAACUAAACGAUUAUUGACGCUGAGGCACGAAAGCGUGGGGAUCAAACAGGAUUAGAUACCCUGGUAGUCCACGCCCUAAACUAUGAUUACUCGACAUACGCGAUACACAGUGUGUGUCUGAGCGAAAGCAUUAAGUAAUCCACCUGGGAAGUACGUCCGCAAGGAUG
rnacentral:rRNA from 1 species